UUGAUAGGGUGUUCCCCUAGUUUUCUAGUGAACCAAGAAACAUUAGGUUGGGAUUAUGCACAGAUGGAUUUACUCCAUUUGUUGUCUCUGCUGCACCAUAUUUAUGUUGGCCGGUGUUUGUUACUCCAUAUAAUCUUCCGCCAGAGUUGUGCAUGACAAGUCCAUAUCUGUUCCUAACUUGUAUUGUUCCAGGUCCAUAUAAUCCGUAAAGUUUUAUUGAUGUAUACUUUCAGCCUUUGAUUGAUGAGUUACAAUUAUUAUGGCAUCAAUGUGUGGAAACAUAUGAUAUAUCAACCAAACAAAACUGCAGAUUUCAUACUGCUUUGAUGUGGACUAUAAAUGAUUUUCCUGCUUAUGGAAUGUUUUCAGCACAAUCCAAAAAGUUUGAUUGAUGUAAACUUGCAACCUUUGAUUGAUGAGUUACAAUUAUUAUGGCAUCAAGGUGUGGAAACAUAUGAUAUAUCAACCAAACAAAACUUCAGAUUGCAU
rnacentral:lncRNA from 1 species